UAGUAACGGCGAGUGAAGCGGGAAGAGCACAAAUUUAAAAUCUACCUGGUUUCCAGGUCGAGUUGUAAUUUGAAGAUACGUUUUUGAYGUUCCGGGUUGGACUAAAUCCUUUGGGAUAAGGUAUCAUGGAGGGUGAGAAUCCCGUAUAUACCAACCGYAGGRAUGUUAUUUAAUACGUUUCUAAGAGUCGAGUUGUUUGGGAAUGCAGCUCUAAAUGGGUGGUAAAUUUCACCUAAUGCUAAAUAUAAGCGAGAGACCGAUAGCGAACAAGUACCGUGAUGGAAAGAUGAAAAGAACUUUGAAAAGAGAGUUAAAUAGUACGUGAAAUUGUUGAAAGGGAAACGAUUGAAGUCAGUCAUGCCGGUGGGAAUCAACUUAGGGGAAACUCUGAGUGCACUUCUUCGCYUGGCAGGUCAACGUCGAUUUUGGAUGUCAUAAAAUGAUUGGGGGAAGGUAGCUCCUUCGGGAGUGUUAUAGCCCUUGGUAGAUGUGAUGUCUGGGAUCGAGGAUUGCAAUGGAUACCCUUUGGGGCUANCCCCCUGAUCUCUAAUUGGUAUUGGGUUACGGACAGCAUGCUGACCGUGAUYUAAUUAUYGGUUAAAAGGUUAGAGCGNGCAUAAAUUC
rnacentral:rRNA from 1 species